rnacentral:rRNA from 1 species
UACGUAGGGGGCAAGCGUUGUCCGGAUUAUUGGGCGUAAAGAGCUCGUAGGUGGUUCGGUAAGUCGGAUGUGAAAUCUCCAGGCUCAACCUGGAGGGGUCAUUCGAUACUGCCGUGACUAGAGUUCGGUAGGGGAGUGUGGAAUCCUGGUGGAGCGGUUGAAAUGCGCAGAUAUUAGGAAGAACACCGGUGGCGAAGGCGGCUCUCUGGAACGGUACUGACGCUGAGACGCGAAAGCGUGGGGAGC